rnacentral:snRNA from 1 species
GGAUGUGAGGGCGAUCUGGCUGCGACAUCUGUCACCCCAUUGAUCUCCAGUUGAUUCGGCUGAUCUGGCUGGCUAGGCGGGUGUCCCCUUCCUCAGUCACUGCUCCAUGUGCAUCCCUCCCAAAGCUGCGCACUUGGUUGAAGAGGACGACCUUCUCUGAUAGAGAUAUACCAUUCGUCAGUCAAGGGUAUACAGUAGCUGCGCUCCGCUGCUGGAACUUCCAAACAAUCUCAAGGUCUAUUUGUAGGAGAACGUAGGGUUUUAAAA